rnacentral:lncRNA from 1 species
GCACUGGGAGGAGGAAGUAAAGAGAUGGUGAGAGAGAAGAACAAGUCUUCCAUUUUAGAACUUGGUCUCCCAAGAAGAGGAUGUUAUUUGGUCUUUGGAUUUAUGUACAAAGAAAAGUAUCGGCGAAUGACUGAAGCCUCCAAGUUGCUAUACAGAACCAUUUCAAAUCAAGAUGCAGUCCCCAUCCAACCAGGAUUAUGUGUGAG